AGCCUUGCGCAGUGGCAGUAUCAUAGCCAAUGAGGUUGAUCCGAGGCACGAUUAUUGCUAAUUGAAAACUUUUCCCAAGACUUUCAAAAUUUCCCAUUAAAAAAGAAGCUUUCUUAGGAGGCAAAAAUGUG
ensembl:snRNA U4 U4 spliceosomal RNA